GUCCCUUUUGAAUUUCAGCGGCCCAAGUUUAAUUUUCAGCAACCCCAUACUUCUCCAGAAACCAGUAACCCAUUUCCCUCCCCAUUCCAAUUCAUCACCAGCCCACCACUUUUACCCUUACCCGCCCUGUACGCGUACAACAAAGACAACAUCUUUGUUGUCUUCUCCUCCCAACGUCUCUUUCAAUUCGUACUAUCGCAGAAGCACCCCUAUCAGCGCAAGAUUGAGUCACGUUGCUCGUCAAGAACCAUGGAACCAAUUUGGGUCGUCGAUUCGCCGUUUCCUCUUUUGGAAUGGGUUGAAACUUCAGAAAAAGGGUGUUUCCCUUUAGUGGUGAGUUUUGAAUUUUAAAAUUUGAAAUGGGCCCUUGUUUAUUCCAAUUCUACCCUCAUCUUUUCCUCUCAAUCUCUGCCCUAGUUUCAUUCUAUAAAUGUUGCCCUCUGAAUCAUUCUUAAGGAAGGGGGAAAUUGGAGGAUUUUCGGGAGAAAAGGGGAGGAAAAAAUAUUGAGAGUUGGGAAAAGUCGGCAAGAACUUACUAAGGGAAACCACUAGGCUGAAAUAGUCAUAUAGGAAAUACAAGAAAAUACACCUUAAAUACAUACAUUUUUAUGUUAUUUGGUUGCUGGGAUCUUCUACGAUUUAAGGUUAGUGGUGAAGUGUUACUCCAAGCUCAAGUGUUGUCAAGUUUCGCUGCCCCGAGAAAAAUCCUACUUCAUCCAUUUGCAUUCUCUUGUUGAGCCGUAAAGUCUCAAACCCUUACCCCCGAGUCUGCCAGCCUUUUCGAAAUUGACGUACAGGUUGAGAGCAGCAAGUAUACUGCUGGGAAUUAAGUUUACAGGCCUCCAAAGGCUCAAAACAAAUGGAUAUACCGGCUGUAUACAUUAAUAUACAGCCGUAAUAUAUGAUAUACAGGUGCAAAAAAUGUGAAAACUCGGCAUAAAAUACAGGACAUAAUUUUCAAAAAAGGUCCAAAGUGGGGUCGUGUACGGCCUAUAUACCAGAAUAUACAUAAAGUGUAUACACAGAAUAUUUUGAAGGAAAAUAGGCCAAAAAGCCCAAAAAUUCCAGCAGCAGAAAAUGGGCUCAAAGGCCCAAAAUUGAUGCUUCUAUCCCUACUCUUUAUUUAUUAUUAUAGCCACUAACAUUUAUUUAAUUUUUGGUUAAUUAAUUCUAAAUGAUAGUCAUUUCUCUUUUGUUAUA